UAGGGAAUCUUCCACAAUGGACGCAAGUCUGAUGGAGCAACGCCGCGUGAGUGAAGAAGGUUUUCGGAUCGUAAAGCUCUGUUGUUGGUGAAGAAGGAUAGAGGCAGUAACUGGUCUUUAUUUGACGGUAAUCAACCAGAAAGUCACGGCUAACUACGUGCCAGCAGCCGCGGUAAUACGUAGGUGGCAAGCGUUGUCCGGAUUUAUUGGGCGUAAAGCGGGCGCAGGCGGAAUGAUAAGUCUGAUGUGAAAGCCCACGGCUCAACCGUGGAACUGCAUCGGAAACUGUCAUUCUUGAGUGCAGAAGAGGAGAGUGGAAUUCCAUGUGUAGCGGUGGAAUGCGUAGAUAUAUGGAAGAACACCAGUGGCGAAGGCGGCUCUCUGGUCUGCAACUGACGCUGAGGCUCGAAAGCAUGGGUAGCGAAGAGG
rnacentral:rRNA from 1 species